UUGAUUGGCAUAACCUGUGGAUUAGCUAUCUACAACUCCACUGUGGUUGACCUCCACUUCCCGUUGGCUCUCUACAAGAAGUUACUGAAUGUAAAGCCCAGCUUGGAGGACUUGAAGGAGCUGUCACCAACUGAAGGAAGGAGUCUUCAAGAGCUUCUAGAUUAUCCUGGCGAAGACAUCGAAGAGACCUUUUGCCUCAACUUCACGGUGUGCCGAGAAAGCUAUGGGGUGAUAGAACAGAAGAAAUUGAUACCCGGGGGAGACAGAGUGGCCGUGUGCAAGGACAACAGGUGAUGGAAUUGAAACAAAGAAUUACAUCAUUUGGCCAGCUCUUCAGCUAGAAGAAAAGGACUUGACUCGGGGCCUGUGCUCCAGGAGUUGUACCCUGCCACUGAGAGCUCACAGCGGAACUUGAGAGUUCCUGUCCUCUCCUCCAGGGCAAAAGACAUGACUGAACGGUUUACUGUGUCUCCUCUCAGGCAGACUACAGUUUUCUAAGAAGAGAAAGCUGGUAUAGUUAGGCGCAUACUACAAAUGUGUGAAAUUGAAUGCCUGGAUGCUGAACUAGGGAAUACAGGGCAUGUUUAGCAUUUAAGAUGUGGUAAAACCUUCAUGAGCAGCUCAUGCCUUUGAUCCCAGUGCUGGAGAGGUAUAGCCGAGCAAAUCUUUGUGAGUUUGAGGCCAGCCUACAUAAGUGAGUUCCAGGGCAGGGCUUG
rnacentral:lncRNA from 1 species